rnacentral:rRNA from 1 species
AGUGAACGCUGGCGGUAGGCCUAACACAUGCAAGUCGAACGGCAGCACAGUAAGAGCUUGCUCUUACGGGUGGCGAGUGGCGGACGGGUGAGGAAUACAUCGGAAUCUACUUUUUCGUGGGGGAUAACGUAGGGAAACUUACGCUAAUACCGCAUACGACCUACGGGUUAAAGCAGGGGAUCUUCGGACCUUUCGCGAUUGAAUGAGCUGAUGUCGGAUUAGCUAGUUGGCGGGGUAAAGGCCCACCAAGGCGACGAUCCGUAGCUGGUCUGAGAGGAUGAUCAGCCACACUGGAACUGAGACACGGUCCAGACUCCUACGGGAGGCAGCAGUGGGGAAUAUUGGACAAUGGGCGCAAGCCUGAUCCAGCCAUACCGCGUGGGUGAAGAAGGCCUUCGGGUUGUAAAGCCCUUUUAUUGGGAAAGAAAAGCAGCAGGUUAAUACCCCGCUGUUCUGACGGUACCCAAAGAAUAAGCACCGGCUAACUUCGUG